rnacentral:rRNA from 1 species
UACAGAGGGUGCAAGCGUUGUUCGGAAUUAUUGGGCGUAAAGCGCGUGUAGGCGGCUUGGUAAGUCGGGUGUGAAAGCCCUCAGCUCAACUGAGGAAGUGCGCCCGAAACUGCUUGGCUUGAGUACCGGAGAGGGUGGCGGAAUUCCCCAAGUAGAGGUGAAACUCGUAGAUAUGGGGAGGAACACCGGUGGCGAAGGCGGCCACCUGGACGGAUACUGACGCUGAGACGCGAAAGCGUGGGUAGCAAACAGGAUUAGAUACCCUGGUAGUCCACGCCGUAAACGAUGAGAACUAGGUGUCGUGGGUGUUGACCCCUGCGGUGCCGUAGCUAACGCAUUAAGUUCUCCGCCUGGGAAGUACGGCCGCAAGGCUAAA